GGAAGGUCAUGAUGAGCUCCCCACCCCCGCCCCCAGGAAUGAAGCAGAGCCUAAUAUGCCUGGCCAUCACUAUGGCAACUGCCUGCAUCACACUUGGUCUCCUCUGUGUGCCAUGGUAGCAUGGUGAACUCUGAACGCUGCUGGGGGUGCCACCAAAAUUUGAUCAAUGUAUACCCAAAAUCUCACCUACAGGACUUUGGGAGACAGAUUAACGAAGCAAACACUAGCCUCAGACAGUGAAGGCUUCGACCCAGGCCUGCCUUUCACAGGACCCAAGGCCUUGGGAAGCUACUGAGCAUGGGUACGCAAGCACCUCACCCCGACCAUGGAGAGGCACACCUGAUUCCUCCUAGCAGCCUCCUCACUGGGGCCAACUGGAGAAAAAUAAAUACAUCAGUGGGCUAAAGGUGUGCCUUUGCCCACUCAAAAUGCAA
rnacentral:lncRNA from 1 species